UACGUAGGGGGCAAGCGUUGUCCGGAUUUAUUGGGCGUAAAGAGCGUGUAGGCGGCCAGGUAGGUCUGCUGUGAAAACUCGAGGCUUAACCUCGAGCUGUCGGCGGAAACCAUCUGGCUAGAGUCCGGAAGAGGAGAAUGGAAUUCCCGGUGUAGCGGUGAAAUGCGCAGAUAUCGGGAAGAACACCGAUGGCGAAGGCACUCUGCUGGGCCGACACUGACACUGAAAGACGAAAGCCAGGGGAGCGAAUGGG
rnacentral:rRNA from 1 species